CGGCGUGUAAAGGAGAUCAAGAGGGAGAUGUGAGGGACAAAGGGUGUCAUGUUGAAAGAGCAGCAGGGGAGGUACGAGAUGUGGAGGGAGAGUAGAAGGCGUCCUGGCUGAUGGGAGAAUGGAGGAAGGGAAGGAGAUGAGGAGUCCUUCUCUGGUGGUGGCGUGGGGGAGAGAAAGGAGGAGAUGAGGGGAUAUUUAUAGCUGUUGUUUGCUGCAUGAGAGCAUGCAAAUGAGGAGAGAGUAAACCCAAGGAAUAAAAGGGUGUUAUCAAAGGAGAAUUGAAGAGUGUCUGCUAGUUUGUGCGUG
rnacentral:lncRNA from 1 species